AAAAAAUAAAUUUAUAAUUAAAAACUUUCCCACAAAUAAUAUCCAGGCCCAAGUGGUUUCACUGACAAUUUCUAUCAAAAACCUAGGAAAGGUAUUCGAGGAAGGAAGACUUUCAAAUUGACUUUAUAAUCUUAAUAUUAAAUUUUAUAGCUAAACCAGACAAAAACAUCACUAUAAAAGAGAGCUAAACUAAUAGUGCAAAUGAUAUGGCUUCAAAAAUUCUUAAAAGAUGAGCAAAACUUUUUCAAUUAUGUAUACAUAUAUUAUGGCCAAAUGUACUUUUUAUUUCCCCUGGAAAUUAAAUUGGGACUAAUAUCUAAAAUUCAAUAAAUAUCUAUCAUAAUGAUAAUAAAAAACAAUAUGAUCAUAUCAAUAGAUAUAGAAAAUUAUUUGAUUAAAUACAAUACCUUUAUAUUACAUAAACUACCAAUAACUAAGAAUGUAAGUGUGCUUCUAUAGUUUGGUGGGUUUUUAAAAUUUAUCAUGCCAGGAAUUCCAGUCCUAGGUGACUAUCUGAGAGAAGUAAAAAUAAAUACAUGCACACAAAAUUUUUAGUAGCAUUAUUCAUAAAAAUCAGUGAGUAGAAACAACUGAAAUCAACAUGUGAAUAAUUCUAUCAACAUGUGAAUAAUUCUAAAAUGUAGUUUCACCAUACAAUGAAAUACUACUUAACAAAAAGAUAAAUAUAACUAAGAGUACAAUGUGGAUGAACCUAAAAAUAAUAUAUGCUAAGUAAAAGAAUCCAGUCACAAAAUUCCACAUAUUGUAUGACUCCAUUUGUAUUAAUUAUCUGGAAAAGGUAAACCGAGAGAGAGAGAGUAGAUUAGUGAUCUGCUAGCCUAGGAACAAGAAUACUGGUUAAAUGGAAAUUAGCAUAAAGAAUUAUUAUGGAGUAAAGCAAGUGUUCUAAAAGUGGAUUAAGAUGGUUACACAACUCUGCAAAUUUACAAAAUACAUCAUAAAAUUUUACACUUAAAGUGCAUACCUUUAUUAUAUGUGUUAUACCUCAAUAUAGCUAUUUAAAAAUGAAAUAAAUAAAUAAAUGGAACAAUAAGUAGUGAUGUAUGAAAUGAAAGAUUUAAUAAAAUAUUUUAUUAAGAUUAAAAAAUACUCUUCAAAAAUGAAAUUCAGUAAAUCAAAAAGAAACCACAGACUAUGAGAAAAUAUAGGGAACACAUUUAUCUGAUGAAGAACAUGUAUCCAGAAUUACAUAAUAAGCACUUACUACCUAACAAUAAUAAAAGAAACAACUCAAUUAAAAAUUCAUUAGAGAAUUUAAACAGGUAUUCAACACAAGAGAACAUAUAAGUUUUUAGUAAACCCAGGGCAAAUUCUUGAUAUCAGCAGUUAGGAAAAUGUAAAUAAAAUAAAAAUAAGAUGCCACUACAAAUUUACUAGUAACAAAAGUCUUUGUUAAAAAGACUGAUAAUAUCGAGUCCUGGUAAGAAUGUGGAACAAAUGAAACUUACACAUUGAUGUUAGGAAUAUAAAAUUUGACUACUUUGUAAACCUGUAUAUUUAAAAAGUUAAACAUACAUUUACCCCAAGACCCAACAAUUUAAUACCCUUAUUAUUUACUUAGGAGAAUUAAAGUACACAUCUACAUGAAGAUCUGUAAACUUGAAUCUAUAGCAGCAUUAUUUAUACCUCAAAAUAGGAGGGAACCCAAAUAUCCCUCAACAGGUGAAUUUAAAAAAAAAACAGAUUAUAAUAUAUCUGCCCUAUAAAAUAUUACUCAGCAGUGCUAACAUACACAACAACAUAGAUCAAUCUCACAAUAUAAAUUAUGCUAGGAGAAAAAGUUAAAUACAAAAGACUGAAGUUUAUUUAUAUAAAAUUCUGGAAGAUGAAAAAUCUAGUGACAGAAAAUUAUUGGUUGCCUUAAGAUGAAAGUCAGGAGAGAGAAUCCACUGCAAAGGACCGAAGGAAACUUUUUCAGGUGGACAAUAUAUUUUCUGAUAGGAUCUUACCUGUUCCAGUAAUUGAUACAAGGAAUGAUGUCAGAAAACAGACUUUCCCUACAGAUUCUGCAAUGGGAUUCUGCACAUGUUCAAGAAAUAAACAGAAAACAUUCCUAUCAGUGGAAAAAAUGGAAAUUGGUAAUCCAUGCUAUGCAUCAGCAUCACAUUCACAUUUUCAUGUGGUGGCUUGGAGGUAUCAACUAAUAUGUAGAUGACAAGCAUGGUAUUGGGGAAUUGUGGCUAUAGCAAUGUAAUAGCAAUUUGAUAACUAUGAAAACAAUACGAUUAUGCAAAUCAUGGCCCCAAAGAGCCUGUCUGUGGAAAAAAUCAUUGAAGCUCCUGAAUGUCCAAACUCAAAACACAAGUGUAAAUCCACAUUCCUUCCAAGGAAGCAAUAUCUUUGAGAACCUUAAUCCUAGCUGAGCUCUGUUGACCAUAUUUGACAAUAGGAGAUACUAUGAAUAAGCUGAGGUCUUAUUCCCCAAGACUGGGUAAUUUAUAAAGGAAAGAGAUUUAAUUGAUGUACAGUUCAGCAUGGCUGUAAGAAAACUCACAAUCAUGGCGGAAGGUGAAGAGGAAGCAAGGCACCUUCUUCACAAGGUGGCAGGAAGAAGUGAGAAGUAAAGGGGGAAGAGCUCCUUAUAAAACCAUCAGAUCUCGUGAGAACUUACUAUCAUGAGAACAGCAUGAGGCAAACCUCCCCCAUGAUUCAAUUACCUACACCUGGUCUCUCCCUUGACACGUGGGGAUUAUGUGGAUUACAGUUCAAGGUGAGAUUUGAGUGGGGACCCAAAGCCUAACUGUAUCAACUAAUGACAGAGAUUAAGUGGUUUGGGAAUUGCAGGAGCCUAGUGACAACAUUUAACCAACAGAUAAGGUGAGUAAAAUGACCAUAAUAAACCUCAUGACAGUAAAAGAAACAAGAGUGACUUAUCCUACAGGGAAGUAAUAUAUCAUAGUUUUUCUAGGAAUGAAAUACAAAGGCAGCCAACUAAGUUGUGAUUUGAUUAUAUAACCUGAAUAAUCAAAAGAUGACAAGCAAUAGAAAAUUGCAAUCUCUUAGACCCUUUUCAUGUAUAAGCCAGUUCUCAGCCCAGAGCUCAAUAGGAGGACUAGGUCACCUAGAAGAAGGACUGUGUAAUGCCAAUGCAAGUAUAUUCAAUGUAUGUUCCAUUGAGAUCCUUUACCAGAAUAAAUGUACACUGGAGAAAUUUGAUUACUCAUAUCUUUCAAGGGUUUUUAGUUCAGGGUCUAAGUUGGCAGUGAUAUUGCUGAUCUGAAACACAAUCAUAGCUCCUUGGCUUGAGAAAAGUGUUAUGGAAUUCAGGCUUGAGAAAGGUGUUAUGGAAUUCAGGCUUGAGAAAGGUGUUAUGGAAUUCAGGCUUGAGAAAGGUAUUAUGGAAUUCAGGUAAUAAAUGGAGUCCAGACCAAGUCACAGUGGCAAUUUCCAUGGAACUCACUUGUAACACUAGGAUGGAUAUACUUAGAAUCUUAUUAGUUCCUGACCUGUUAAGGGUGAGCCAUUGCAGAAUGAAAGACCAGCAGAAAACUCCAGCAUCAUCCCUCUUACCCUCAAGGCCAAGAUAGUCAAUAAAAAAGAGUACUGUACGUCAAGAAGAAUUGCAGGAAUUAUUGACAACUUCAAAGUUUUUGAGGAGUCAGAGGUAAUUGCUUUUAUGAUAUCUCUAUUUAGUUUACCUGUACGGCCCUUUCAAAACAUAGAUGGCCUAUACUGGGUAAUAGAGGAUUAAUAUAAACCUAAAGGAUGAUACCACAUGUGCAACUGCUUUGCUGGAUGUGUUUCUGGAAUAGAAUAUAACUUCUGGUACUUGGAUGUCACUAUUGAUGUAGAGAAUACAUUCUCUUCUAUCUCCAUCAAUAAAAAUGUAUCAGAAGUAAUAUAUUUUUGUAUCACUCUAUUCAUUGACAGUUUUGGACCAGGGGUAUGAAAAUGUCCUUGACUUUAUCUCAUUAUACCAUUCUGAGACCUUGAGUAUAUCUUAUAAUUUUAUGGGGCAUUACACUUGUCACUGUAUUCAUUUCAUUAUGCUAAUUUUACCUGGUCUGAAAUAAGGAGACUGGACACCCUAGUAAAUUACAUGUUUCCCAGAAGUGGUAAAUGAACUCCAGAAAGAUGACAGUCCUGCCACAUCAAUAAGGACUUGCUUCCUAAAACAAAGGAUAGGUUAUUGUUCUUCACAAAUCCUACCACUAAGGUAGAGUCAUAGACAUAGAACUUAGUAUUUUUUUUUUUUUUUUUAACAAUCAGAACUAUGGUUCUAGUGCAGUGCAAACUUCCCUGGACAUUAGCCACCUGGCUGUUAAAUAUAGUGGUGUCAGAAGUAUCCAAGAUGGAUAAAGAUGUUGCAUGUAUUUCAGGGUCAGGCCAUCUGCAGAAGAGAACUAAGCACUCUCGGAAAACCACAUUCUUAUGUGCUACAGAGCCCAGCAGAAAAAGAAACACUGCAUGUGGAACAUCUGUUGACUAUACAGAAAGAGCAGGUAUCCAGGAGUGAGGUCAAACAUAUGCAAUAUACUUUUAUUGCAUAAUUGAAAUGGUGCAUUUGGAUUUGGAAAUUCGCAGGUCUAGAACAAAAAAUAAUUUACGUGAAGAGGUGUAAAUUCCUGAAAAGUGCAACAUUGGGAUAUCUAAUAAGAGCAAGUUUGGGCUUCAGUGAGGAAACAAUAAAAAUUUUGCAGAAGAAGCACAUGAAUAGAUCAUGAGAGUGGGCAAACAGCGUAAGAAACUGUGUCUCACGUUGAUAUCUACCUAAAAGUAUCCAAUACAGAGGAAGCACUUAAAAAUAAGAGAAAUAAGUGGAAUCCUUGUAAGGAUAUAAAACACAAUUUGUCUCAGCCACUCAGCCGUCCAACUUGAACAAUGAGCCCAUUAAGAGAACAGGACGAAAACAAGGUUUUCCUUUCUUUGUCAGAUCUCACUACUGCCAUUGCUGAUAGUCCAGCCUGCCAACAUCAGAGACAAACAUAGAGCACUCAAUAGAGUAGCGUCAACUAAUGGGACAUGUCAAUCACUUAGCAAUAUAUUGAUUAUAUCAGACUUGUCCAAACAGUAGUCCAUUCUUAUUGGAAUAGGUGUUUCUCUAAGAUUUGGGUUUGCCUUUCUAGCCCCUGUGCCUUUGCUAGUACCAUCAUCCAGGGGUUUAUAUAAUGCCACGUUUACACCUUGGCACACAAUAUAAUAUUUACUUAAUCAAAGUAACCAUUUUCUUAUGGUGAGUACAAGUAUUCUUUUUAUUAUGAUUAUGAUUAUUUAAACUAUGAAUAUACACCUUAUACUGGUCUUUGUAUGUGUAAUACAUAUUUGUAUAUGUAUAAUAUACAAAUAUAUAAUAUAUCUUUGUGUUUGUAUAAUAUGGAUUAUUAUAUUUGUAUAUGUAUAAUAUAUGAAUAUAUAAUAUAUAUUUAUAUUUUUAUAUGUAUAAUAUGGAUUGACAAUAUGUUUUAAUCGUCAAUAUGAAUAAAAUAAUAAAGAUGAAUAAAAUAAUAAUAAACCAAAUAUAUAUGUAGGGUUAUG
rnacentral:lncRNA from 1 species